rnacentral:rRNA from 1 species
UACAGAGGGUGCAAGCGUUAAUCGGAAUUACUGGGCGUAAAGCGUGCGUAGACGGUUACAUAAGUCGGGUGUGAAGCCCCGGGCUCAACCUGGGAAUUGCGAUGGAGACUGCAAGGCUUGAAUCUGGCAGAGGGGGGUAGAAUUCCACGUGUAGCAGUGAAAUGCGUAGAGAUGUGGAGGAACACCGAUGGCGAAGGCAGCCCCCUGGGUCAAGAUUGACGCUCAUGCACGAAAGCGUGGGGAGCAAACAGG